rnacentral:lncRNA from 1 species
CCCGAAGUACUAUCUCCCUUGUAGAGAAGAUCUUUUGAUGACUGGUUUGAUCCUUCUUCAGAUCUAGAAGAUGAUCUUCAGUCGAAGAAGCAGUGGAGGUAGAAGAAAGAUAGCAGCAGCAUAGCUUUCUUCCUUGGAGUCCCACACCUUGUACCAAUGGAGUUUUCCCUUCAAACUUAGAAGGGAGGAUGCCAAAAAAUCCCUCUCUCACUC